rnacentral:lncRNA from 1 species
UCUGUGAGAGCUGAUCUGAACCGCUGCUAAGGACUGAGACGCGCCUCGAGCUGUCACUUGCCGCCUGGAGUUCGUUGGGAAAGUUGAAAAAGCCUAGUCCUGUUUAGGAAAUCUAUCCAGCUGUGUAUAUCCUUUUUGCUUUUAGGGUAUGAAGCUUAGGAAGGAUAAGAAAAACAAGAUCACACAGCUGGCAAGUGACACAAUUUAUAACUCCAGAACGAGAAUUUGCAGUUGUUGCGCCAGAUGCCCUGUAGCGGGGCUGCCACCAAGAAGGUGGAAGAACACCUUUAGUUCCAGCACUCAGGACACAGAAACAGGGUUGAGCCCAGAAAACCAUGCAAACACUUGUUCACACACAAGCCCACCGUUCUCAUCUUAAAAGGAGCAAGAGAUGGUUUAUUCUGGAGCCAUUUUGAGUAAUAAUGAC